AGAGAUGGAAUCAAGUCGUUUCGACGUCGAAUCACAGCUUCAUCAAUGGAAUACAGUCAGAAGUACAGCAGUGCUUCGGGCGGAGGGUACAAGUCCAAUGCCAAAUCUGAGACCAACCAAACAACGGAGACUAAAAUCAAUAGUGAGAUCGAGAUGGUUGAUUUAGCCGCAAGAUAAAUUAUAAAUUGUGU